rnacentral:lncRNA from 1 species
UGGGAUUACAGAUGUGAGAUACCAUGCCCAGCCCAAGGGAGUGAUUAUUUCAAUCACAAGACAUGAAAUCAGGAUGAUGAACACAUUUGGCAAGAAUCUAGUUCCAGGAAACAUGUUUUGAUGCUGCUUAACACAGCUUUUGGAAGUUGAUGAACAUCAUCAAAGUGUGAACCCAUCUCAGCUGACAAGGGGGACACAAAUUUGCUGCCUUCCUAUGUCAGCAUCUGAAGAGAUGGCAUGUGGAUGGGAACCAGCCAGGACAGCUGUGGAGGCAGCCAUAUCGCUGAAGAAGUGCAGGCUGCACCUGACCUUUCCCAGUGACCAAGGCAGUGCACACAGGGCCACACAGGGACAUCCUUCCAUGUUUUAUGGUUUGUAGUUGUUUGACUGAUGAUGACAUUACUGUUUAGACAUUUGGACUGCAAGGAGAAAUCCCACCACAGAUAAGUAGAUCGUCUUGUCUUUGCAUGGGCAUGCUGCCCUGGCUUGUCUGAUGUGUGCAUUAUGGGACGUAUGCACAGGAACAGCUCAGUUACCCACUCACCAGUCGUGAGGGUGCAAGACCUCUAAAAGUGAGGCCUGUAACUUGUUCAUCUUCAAGAUAGAGACUUCACAUUUCGGUGUAAUCACCAUCAACACUUACUGAAUUGAUCCGAAUUCAAUAAAUAUGAAUUCACGGAUAAUCUGCCAAAUUUAAAAUAUUGCCCUAGUGGUUUGGGGUGCACAGAGUUAAGUGAAACCACCCAUUCUUAGGGAUCAUCCAAUGCAGGAGUGCUGGCAUAUUCAUCAGCAAGGGCUGUCACACAGAACAUCACAGGCCCUGUGCUUACGCAACCGUUUCUGCUGAGGCCUCUCUUCCUGCUUAUAGACAGUGCCUUUUCACUUUGAGCUUGCUUGGCCUCUUCUCUGUGCAUGCACAGAGAGAGAGAAAGGGAGAACAGGCAGCCUCUGGCGCCUCUUCCUGUUCUCAUGACACUAGUUAAUAAGGUUCGGUUCUGUGUCCCCACCCAAAUCUCAUCUUGAAUUGUAGCUCCCAUAAUUCCUAC